CCUANGGGUGGCUGCAGUGAGGAAUCUUGCGCAAUGGGGGAAACCCUGACGCAGCAACGCCGCGUGAGUGAGGAAGGUCUUCGGAUCGUAAAGCUCUGUCAGAUGGAAAGAAAUGCAUGGGGGUUAACAGCCUUCAUGCUUGACGGUACCAUCAGAGGAAGCACCGGCUAACUCCGUGCCAGCAGCCGCGGUAAUACGGGGGGUGCAAGCGUUGUUCGGAAUCAUUGGGCGUAAAGAGCGUGUAGGCGGCUUGAUAAGUCAGAUGUGAAAGCCCUGGGCUUAACCCAGGAAGUGCAUUUGAAACUGUCAGGCUUGAGUAGGGGAGAGGGAAGUGGAAUUCCUGGUGUAGAGGUGAAAUUCGUAGAUAUCAGGAGGAACACCGGUGGCGAAGGCGACUUCCUGGCCCUAUACUGACGCUGAGACGCGAGAGCGUGGGUAGCAAACAGGAUUAGAUACCCUUNUANUC
rnacentral:rRNA from 1 species